UACGUAGGGUGCAAGCGUUAAUCGGAAUUACUGGGCGUAAAGCGUGCGCAGGCGGUUAUGUAAGACAGAUGUGAAAUGCCCGGGCUUAACCUGGGAACUGCAUUUGUGACUGCAUGGCUAGAGUUUGGCAGAGGGGGGUAGAAUUCCACGUGUAGCAGUGAAAUGCGUAGAUAUGUGGAGGAACACCGAUGGCGAAGGCAGCCCCCUGGGUCAAGACUGACGCUCAUGCAUGAAAGCGUGGGGAGCAAACAGG
rnacentral:rRNA from 1 species